CCUACGGGUGGCAGCAGUCGAGAAUCAUUCACAAUGGGGGAAACCCUGAUGGUGCGACGCCGCGUGGGGGAAUGAAGGUCUUCGGAUUGUAAACCCCUGUCAUGUGGGAGCAAAUUAAAAAGAUAGUACCACAAGAGGAAGAGACGGCUAACUCUGUGCCAGCAGCCGCGGUAAUACAGAGGUCUCAAGCGUUGUUCGGAAUCACUGGGCGUAAAGCGUGCGUAGACUGCUUCGUAAGUCAGGUGUGAAAGGCGCGGGCUCAACCCGCGGACGGCACAUGAUACUGCGAGACUAGAGUGAUGGAGGGGGAACCGGAAUUCUCGGUGUAGCAGUGAAAUGCGUAGAUAUCGAGAGGAACACUCGUGGCGAAGGCGGGUUCCUGGACAGUAACUGACGCUGAGGCACGAAGGCCAGGGGAGCGAAAGGGAUUAGAUACCCCUGUAGUC
rnacentral:rRNA from 1 species